AAGCAUAUCAAUAAGCGGAGGAAAAGAAACCAACAGGGAUUGCCCCAGUAACGGCGAGUGAAGCGGCAACAGCUCAGAUUUGAAAUCCGGCGCCCCCCGGGGCGCCCGAGUUGUAAUCUGCAGAGGAUGCUUCUGGCGGGGCGCCUUCCGAGUUCCCUGGAACGGGACGCCGCAGAGGGUGAGAGCCCCGUACGGUCGGACGCCGAGCCUGUGUGAAGCUCCUUCGGCGAGUCGAGUAGUUUGGGAAUGCUGCUCAAAACGGGAGGUAUACGCCUUCUAAAGCUAAAUACCGGCCAGAGACCGAUAGCGCACAAGUAGAGUGAUCGAAAGAUGAAAAGCACUUUGAAAAGAGGGUUAAACAGUACGUGAAAUUGUUGAAAGGGAAGCGCUCGCGGCCAGACUCGGGCCCGGGGGAUCAUCCGGCGCUCGCGCCGGUGCACUCCGCCGGGCUCCGGGCCAGCAUCGGCUCGCGGCGGGGGACAAAGGCGCCGGGAACGUGGCUCCCCAGGGAGUGUUAUAGCCCGGCGUGCCAUGCCCCGCGGCGGGCCGAGGUACGCGCGUCCGCAAGGAUGCUGGCGUAAUGGCCACCAGUGACCCGUCUUGAAACACGGACCAAGGAGUCGUCUUCGUAUGCGAGUGUUCGGGCGUCAAACCCGUACGCGGAAUGAAAGUGAACGCGGGUGGGAGCCCCUCGCGGGGCGCACCGCCGACCGAUCCUGAUGUUCUCGGAUGGAUUUGAGUAGGAGCAUACGGGGCCGGACCCGAAAGAAGGUGAACUAUGCCUGUGUAGGGUGAAGCCAGAGGAAACUCUGGUGGAGGCUCGCAGCGGUUCUGACGUGCAAAUCGAUCGUCAAACAUGGGCAUGGGGGCGAAAGACUAAUCGAACCUUCUAGUAGCUGGUUCCCGCCGA
rnacentral:rRNA from 1 species